CCUACGGGAGGCUGCAGUGGGGAAUAUUGGGCAAUGGAGGCAACUCUGAACCAGUAACGCCACGUGAGUGAUUAAGGUCCUCGGAUUGUAAAACCCCUUAAGUGGGGACGCAGUAAGCGACUGUACCCACAGGAUAAGCCUCGGCCAACUACGGGGCAGCAGCCGGCUGAAUACGGGGGGGGCAAGCGGUAUGCGGAAUGACUGGGUGGAAAGGGUGCGUUGGUUGUUCGACAAGUUAGUAGCGUAAUUCCGGGGCUCAACUUCGGUACUACUACUAAAACUGUUGGGCUUGAGUGCAGGAGAGGUGAGUGGAAUGCGUGGUGUAGCGGUGAAAUGCGUAGAUAUUAGGAAGAACACCAGCUGCGAAGGC
rnacentral:rRNA from 1 species